GCGGGGAUAGCUUAAUGGCAGAGCACGAUCCUCCCCGGAUCGAGAUAUGAGUCCGAUCCUCAUUCCCCGCUCCA
rnacentral:tRNA from 1 species